rnacentral:lncRNA from 1 species
AUGCACUGUGCAGCACACAGAGAAGGCUUCCUGCUCAUCCAAGAGACUUCGUGCUGGCUUGCAGGGCACCGGAUGGACAAAGCCAUGGAGCAAAUCAGGACUUUGCUGUACAGGAGGUUGCUCUUGAUGGGAUUCCUCUCUCAUUCAUCACAGAAUCUGGAAGCUGGAUCUUGGGUUCCACUGUGUGCUCUCCUCUUUCCCCCUGACAGAGCAGAGGAAAGGAUGAGGUGUGACAAAAUGCAAUGCAGUUUUCUUUCUGCCAUUCCUGAGGAAGAAAUCUUGGGACGAGAGGAAGCAGAAGGACUACUGCUCUCAGGAGAGCUGCACUGGGACUGGUCUCUUUGCUCCUCUACCCUAUUUCCAUAGGAGGUGAAGAGUCCUGCAUGCUUCUGCUUGGUUUCCUGCAGGAUUGCUCUUCACUGGAAGGUGGGAAAAAGGGGGCAGCAUCCAUUCAGAAGGAUUCCUACCCCUGCUGAGCUCAACUGCAAGAGGCCUGUACAUACCUUGUCAUGUAAGGGUGGCCUCAGCCACAGGUGAAGGCUCCCAUGACCAGGGAGAGUUGCCUGAAGUUGCAUCCUCUUUGCUGAAAUGUAUGUUGCAAACAGAAUAAAUGAAAGGAAGACAAAAUAAAUAAAUAAAUA